rnacentral:rRNA from 1 species
GACGAACGCUGGCGGCGUGCUUAACACAUGCAAGUCGAACGGAAAGGCCCUGCUUUUGUGGGGUGCUCGAGUGGCGAACGGGUGAGUAACACGUGAGUAACCUGCCCUUGACUUUGGGAUAACUUCAGGAAACUGGGGCUAAUACCGGAUAGGAGCUCCUGCUGCAUGGUGGGGGUUGGAAAGUUUCGGCGGUUGGGGAUGGACUCGCGGCUUAUCAGCUUGUUGGUGGGGUAGUGGCUUACCAAGGCUUUGACGGGUAGCCGGCCUGAGAGGGUGACCGGCCAAGUUGGGGAAGAAGGUACGCCCCAGCCCCCUGGGGGGGGCAGCGGGGGGAAUUAUUCAAAAGGGGGGGGAGGCCUAAUGCGGCAACGCGGGGGGGGGGAUGAGGCCUUUGGGGUGGUAACCCGUUUUCCCGGGGGACAAGGGGUGAGGGGGGGAAGGGGAUAAGGAGGAACCGCCUAACGAUG